rnacentral:rRNA from 1 species
UACAGAGGGUGCGAGCGUUAAUCGGAAUUACUGGGCGUAAAGCGCACGUAGGUGGCGACGUAAGUCGGGUGUGAAAGCCCCGGGCUCAACCUGGGAAUUGCAUUCGAGACUGCAUUGCUGGAGUACGGAAGAGGAAGGCGGAAUUCCCGGUGUAGCGGUGAAAUGCGUAGAUAUCGGGAGGAACAUCAGUGGCGAAGGCGGCCUUCUGGUCCAGUACUGACGCUGAGACGCGAAAGCGUGGGGAGCGAACAGG